AAGUCGUAACAAGGUUUCCGUAGGUGAACCUGCGGAAGGAUCAUUAUCGAGUUCUGACUGGGUUGUAGCUGGCCUUCCGAGGCAUGUGCACGCCCUGCUCAUCCACUCUACACCUGUGCACUUACUGUGGGCUUCAGAUCGUAAAACGCGGGUCCCUUUACCGGGCUUGCGGAGCGUGUCUGUGCCUGCGUUUAUCACAAACUCUAUAAAGUAUCAGAAUGUGUAUUGCGAUGUAACGCAUCUAUAUACAACUUUCAGCAACGGAUCUCUUGGCUCUC
rnacentral:misc_RNA from 1 species